UGCUUCGCUUUGCACUAAUGAUCUUCCUCCUAUUGUCUUCCCGCAUCUCUCAAUUUCCACAGCUCAGCAGGGGUGCCAGAGCCCGGGCGGGAAAGGGCUGCACGCAUGAACCCCCUGCAAGGCCUGGAGCACGGGACCCUCUACCCCAGCUUCUCUACCCCGGCUUCUCCUGAGUCUCAGCCCAGCCCAGCAGCCACCACUGACCUCCUGCGCCCUAUACUGUGCAGGUGCCUGCAGGAGAGUGCACGGCUCUGAGCUGGGUCCAGACUGCCUGGCAGGUGCAAGCUCCAAGACUUCAAGGUCAAGAUCUCCAUCGUUGAGCCAGGCAGCUUCCGAGGUGCCCAGUGUAUGCAGAAAAGCCAGGAGCAGGUGCGGGGCCAUGUGCCCCUCCCCAGAGACUUACAGGCAGCAGUACUUCAGCCACUGGUCUUGCCAACGUACCGCAGCUUCCCUGGGACUGUCCUGGGAAGCACAAAGCUGCUGCCUUGAGGCAGGAAUUCAUCUGUGUUUCCAACUCCCUCGGAUGCUGGAAGAGGUGGAACUCGCCCGGAUUCAGCUGCCUGAAUCCCUUCCAGCCAGAGCUGUGUGACAGACUGCCUGGGUCCUGCCAACCAGA